rnacentral:rRNA from 1 species
UACGUAGGGUGCAAGCGUUAAUCGGAAUUACUGGGCGUAAAGCGUGCGUAGGCGGUUCGCUAAGACCGAUGUGAAAUCCCCGGGCUUAACCUGGGAACUGCAUUGGUGACUGGCGGGCUAGAGUAUGGCAGAGGGGGGUAGAAUUCCACGUGUAGCAGUGAAAUGCGUAGAGAUGUGGAGGAAUACCGAUGGCGAAGGCAGCCCCCUGGGCCAAUACUGACGCUCAUGCACGAAAGCGUGGGGAGCAAACAGG